rnacentral:rRNA from 1 species
GUCUUUUAGAGUAUAAUUUAAAGUCUAACCUGCCCACUGAAUUAAUUUGAAGGGCCGCGGUAUUUUGACUGUGCAAAGGUAGCAUAAUCAUUAGUCUUUUAAUUGAAGGCUUGUAUGAAUGGUUGGAUGAAACAUUAACUGUCUCAAUUUAAAUUAAAUAGAAUUUAAUUUUUAAGUUAAAAAGCUUAAAUAAAAUUAGAGGACGAGAAGACCCUAUAGAUCUUUAUAUUUGAUUUUUUUUUAUUAAUUUAGGAAAUUAAUUAUUAUUAAUAAAUUAAUUAUUUUAUUGGGGUGAUAAAUAAAUUUAUUAAACUUUAUUUUAUAUAAACAUUUAUUUAUGAAAAAUUGAUCCAUUAUUAUUGAUUAUAAGAUUAAGUUACCUUAGGGAUAACAGCGUAAUUUUUUUAGAGAGUUCAUAUCGAUAGAAAAGUUUGCGACCUCGAUGUUGAAUUAAAGGUUAAUUUUAGGUGUAGAAGUUUAAAGUUUUGGUCUGUUCGACCAUUAAAUC